CCCAAGUCACCCUGGAGAGCCUGGGACCCAGACAUGUCUCUACGGAACCUCCAACUAUCGUUUCUGGUGCAGAUGAGCAUCCCUGACUUGUGAACGCCUUUGGCCUGGCCAAUGAUCCCAUCAAAGAUCUCCCCGCCGGGGCCUGAAGGGACGAAGGCGGCCAUCCCUCUCCCAGGCCUCCGGCAAAAUGUGCAACCAAAUAGAGACACAGCGAGAGAGG